AUGGAGGAUCCAGAUGCUGCAUCUGCAUCCGCUCUGGCGGCCAUGGCAGAUCCUGAUGACGCUUCUCUUGAAGCAGCGAUGCAAGCUCCGAUUACUGUUGGGAUGGGACCCGUCGGCCCCCUCCUCCGGAAACUCCAUCGACAGAGUCGGGCGCCAGAUCUGCUAGGUGCGGAAGAUGUUCAUCUUCUCAAGAUUUUAUGCAUCUGGCUGAAGGGUAUGUCGGAGGAGGAAGAGGCUACCUGCCUGGUCCAGUGGUGGAUGAAGAUGGCUCGGGAACUUUGUUAUGACACGGAUGAUCACCUGGACGAGAUCAUCGCCACCGGCGCUCGUGCUGCCGACUCAAGACUACUUACUCGUGUCAAGGAUGCGUGUGAAAGACACCUGCGUUUCAAGUUGUCUCCUACAAAGGCUAUCAAACCAGGUGACCGGGGGGAAUCCUCCCUCGAGCAGCCGCCGGUUCCCCUCCCUGUCCAUCUGGAGCCGCCAAAGAGUCUUGUCGAGAUGCUGGCUUUAGACGACGCCGAGAACACACUCAAGGUGAUACCUAUACUUGGAUGUGCAGGCGUUGGAAAGACAACAGCUGCCAGAGCCUUGUAUCACAAACAUGCAGGGAAAUUUCAGUGCCGUGCUUUUCUAACUGUGUCCCGGAAUCCAGAUAUGAGGGGGUUUCUCACCAGCAUACUCAAACAACUCAAGGCACAACGGCCAGGUCGCUUUCCUGAUGUACCGGACCUUAUCGAUGCUAUCAGCGAUUAUCUCCAAGGCAAAAGGUACUUUAUCGUAAUUGACGAUAUAUGGACUGCAUCAGUAUGGAAUGUUAUCUGGCUUGCUUUUCCUCGUGAUGAUUCUUGCAGCCGAAUAAUAACAACUACAGAGAUUGAAGAUGUAGCAUUGGCAUGCAGUGGUUAUUACUCAGAAUGUGUAUAUAAGAUGGAACCUCUUGAUGAUAACGAAUCCAGAAAGUUAUUUUUCAGUAGAGUGUUUAGCCCUGAAGAUGAUUGUCCAAAACAUAUCAAAGAAGUUUCAGAUGUGAUUGUAAAGUGUGGUGGUUUGCCAUUAGCUAUUGUAAAUAUAGCCAGUCUGCUAGCAUAUGAGUCAAAAACCGUAGCAGAAAAAUGGAAACACAUACAUGAUUCUUUGACUUCCACUUCGGUGGGGAUGGAAAAUGUUCUCAACCUUAUGUACAAUAGUCUCCCAUCUCGAUUGAGGACAUUCUUGCUAUAUCUUAGCAUGUAUGCACAGGACUAUGUGAUCAAGAAGGAUGAGUUGGUGAAGCACUGGGUAGCCGAAAGCUUUCUUAGAGCUGUGGAAGGGCAAGACAUAGAAGAAAUUGCUGAGGGUUAUUUUAAUGAGCUUGUCAGCAGAGGAAUGGUCCAAGCCGUGGACACCGGUUAUAACGGCGAGGUCUUGUCAUGUUCAGUUCACCAGAUUGUACUGGAUUUCAUUAGGCGCAAAUCCAGGGAGGAAAAUUUUGCCAUCACUGUGGACUAUGAUCAAUCAACUCUAGCACUUCCUGAGAAAGUUCGCCGAUUGUCUGUCCAGUUUGGAGGGGUAAAAGGUGCAUGCAUACCGGAAAGCAUCGUAACAUCCCAUGUUCGAUCGCUUAUAUUUUGGGGUUUCAUCAAGUGUGUGCCUUGCAUUAUGGAUUAUGGACUUCUUCGGGUUCUGAUUCUUCAUAUUUGGGCUGACGAAGACAACGAGAGUUUUGACCUCAGUGGAAUUGGUAAGCUAUUUCUUCUCAAGUAUCUCAAGAUCGAAUGUAAUAUCACUGUCAAACUCCCAGGCAAUAUUAACGGGCUCCGAUACUUGGAGACACUGGAAGUACAUGCAGAAUUAUCUGCUGUUCCUGAUGGUAUUUUUUAUCUGGAGAGAUUGCAGCACAUCCGCAUUCCGAGCAAGUCUAUUCUACCCCACGGAGUUGGCCAAAUGACAUCUCUUCGCACUCUGGGGUAUAUUUAUCUCGGCAAUUACUUGGAAGAAAAUGGCCGCACUUUUGAAAGGCUUACUAAUCUCCAGGAUCUUCAGCUCACAUGUUCUACAGUACAGCCAGCAGAAAAUAUGGAAAAGAAUGUGCAACUCCUAGGCUCGAUUCUUGAGAAACACAGAGUAUUGCAGUCCGUAUCUCUAGUGCCAGCUGCUUCAUUCUCCUCUUAUAUUCGUCGGGAUGAUGCUCGGCCCUUGUGUGAUGGCUUCUGCAUCGUUUCUCCUCCACCGGCCCUCCGAAGACUUGAGCUGUCGCGGCACUGUUGGAUCUUCUCCAGCCUACACGACUGGAUUGGAGAUUUUGUCAACCUCUGUAUUUUAAAGAUUGCAGUUGGCGGGCUGUCGAGGGAGGAUACUGAUGUCCUGAAACGACUGCCUGCCCUCACUGCUCUUACCCUGUAUAUCCAGACAGCUCCUGCAGAGGGGGUCUUGAUUGACAAUGGGGGUUUCCAAGUACUCACGUGUUUCAAGUUCUUGUGUGCUGCACCAUGCCUGUACUUUGCGCCAGAAGCAAUGCCCAGAGUCCAAAAGCUCACGCUAGGCUUCAAUACCAACAGAAUGAAGCCACAUAGCCUUCAAACUUCUGGCUUCCGCCACUUGACAGGCCUUACAGAGGUCUCUGUUAAAUUUGGGUCUCGGGCUGGUGAUAAAUUCGACGGGAAAGCUGCAGAGUCUGCAUUAGAGGCUGCAGUUAGCAAUCAUCCAAACACUCCUAUAAUCAGAGUACAAUGCGCACAUGUGUUUUUUGACGGUGGAGAGGAUAAUAGUACCACGACUGGAGAACAAGAGCACAAACAACAAGAGAUUCCACAAGACAACAAGACCACGGGACAUUCGGAGGUACUUGUGAACAAGGAAUUAGUCAAUAGCAGCAGAUAUGAAAAGUACGGUGUUUUCACUCUGCAGAAGAAUAUCGCACAAUCAGUCGACCUCGUGACGGGGGCCUUCGGCUCCCUGCUCCCCAAGCUGCUCGACCUCCACAAGGACGACCACAGGGUCGAGUCUCUUUACAAGGAGCUCGAGGGUAUGCAAGCUGCCCUCCGUGACGUGGCGAGGCGAGAGCCCACUCAGCAGGAUGAAGUGAUCAUGAUCUGGGCAAAGCAAGUAAGAGACAUCUCGUAUGAAGUGGAGGAUCACAUUGAUUCUUUAACUAGGGGCUCGUCCGGAGUGAAUACCCUCGGCGACGAGUACAUCAAUUACAUCAUGGAAAAGGUCCAGGAUGUGGCCGGCAGACGUGAGAGGUACAAGGCUGAUCACAACAUUGUUGCAGCUAAUUCAAAUGCCUCAGCUAACGUCUACCCUCACUUAUGGAGUCUGUGCCAAGAGUCGGAAGAGAGGUUAAUUGGCAUGGAAGUUCCAGUACAUGAGGUCAUAAGGAAGCUGACAGGAAGCGAUUCAGACUAUGAAAAUCACAGCCUGAAGAUAGUCUCCAUUGUUGGGAUGGCCGGAUCGGGCAAGACAACUCUUGCCAAAGCAGUUGCAAAAGUUGUAUUUUCCUCUAAUUCGGAAUGGGCGAACCUAUACUCGACUCAUAAACACGACUAUUCCUAUCGUGAUUCAGUGGAGACUUUUUUUGUUACCGUAUCUCAGGAUCCCGACAUGAAGAGAGUUCUCACGGACAUCCUACUUCAAAUUGACGAGCUGAAGUACACGAGUCUCAUUGGAGCAUCGUGUGACGCAGAGCUGCUUAUUAAUGCAAUCCGGAGAGGACUUCGGAAAAAGAGGUACUUGAUUGUUAUUGAUGAUAUAUGGGAUGUAAAAUUGUGGAAAAUUUUGAAGUAUGCCAUAGAUAAUGGAGAUGGAGGUAGAGUAAUCCUAACUACUCGGCUUUUGGAAGUGGCUGUCAAUGCCGGUGGUGUUUACAAGCUAAAAGCACUUUCUCAUCCAAUGUCUAAAGAAUUAUUUCAUACAAGAUUGUUUGGUGCUAUUCGUAUUAGACCGGAGCCGGAGAUACCUGAAAAGCUUAUACAGAAAUGUGGUGGUGUACCUUUAGCUGUCAUUACAAUGGCUAGUUUAUUUACGGGGAAACCAUGGAACUAUUUCUCUAAGGUGUACAGAAAUGUUAGUUUUGAGUCUGAGGUUGGAAGCAACAGAGAUGUCAACGACACACGGAAGAGAUUAUUAUCUAGCUAUUAUAAUCUACCUUAUCAUCUGAGGGCAUGCUUAUUGCAUCUACACAUUUUUCCUGAAGACUAUUUAAUCAAGAAAGAAACUUUGAUCUGGAAGUGGGCAGCGGAAGGUUUAAUCAUUGAGGAACCAGGGGCAGGGUUAUUUGAGGUUGGAGAGAGAUACUUCAACGAACUCAUAGAGAGAAACGUGGUCAUACCAGUGGAGGACGGUUCACACUGUGGGAUAAUAAUUGGUUGCCAUGUCCAUUAUCUGGUUUAUGAUAUGAUCUGUUCCUUAUCAACCGCACAAGAUUUUGUCACCGUAGCAGAUGGAAGCAAGCAAUACUCUCCUGCUGAAAGCAAUGCUCGCAGGUUAGCUGUUCAAAAGUGGAACGCGGAGCAGGUCGACCCUCUGGCUAACAAUCGCGACGGAAUGCUGAGGUCAUUUAAUACCAUGGGGUGUUGUUUUAGUAUGGGACUAUCACUUUCAAGGUUUGAACUUCUGCGUGUGAUUGCUAUAGAAGAAUGCACUUUCACUGGAGGCAGGAGUAAUCAUCUUAAGCAUCUGGGGAAGUUACUUCUGUUGAGGUACCUCGGACUAUAUAACACUCGUAUUGAUGAGCUACCAGAAGAAAUAGGGGAUCUAAUUUCUUUGCAGACACUGGACUUGAGGGGGACCACGGUACAACAAUUCCCAGCGAGUGUUGCUCGGCUAAGGCAGCUCAAGUGUCUGCGAGCUGAUAGCAUAACAGCACCGGAUUGGAUGGGCAAUUUUACAUCCCUAGAGGUACUACAGCUGGGCGAGGUCGGCAUGUCAAAAGACUUGGCGACAGUGCUAGGCAAACUGACAGAGCUGAGGGAGCUCAAUAUUCAGAUUGAGAAGUUGGAUGAGAUCAUGAGCAAAGCUUUGGUGCAAUCCUUGGGUAAACUGCAGGAAAUCAGAAUUUUAAAGCUUAGUAUGAGUUUCUUGCCGGGUGAAGAGGCCAAUUGGGAAGGCUUUGUGCCGCUCGAGUACCUCCAUGAUCUGCAUAUGAAGAUUCCAUCCUGUGGACUGCCGGCAUGGAUUAAUCACUCGUUUGUUCCGUAUCUGUCACAUCUGUCUGUGGAAGUGAAGGCUUUUGCGGAGGAGCAGGAUCUGGAGAACCUGGGGAGGUUGCAAGAGCUCCUCAGUUUGGAGCUGCUGAUGCCGUCAAACGUCUUCCUCGGCAUCAAGGGUCACAAUUCGUUCCCCAGUUUGAGGUACUUCGGCACGUCUGCACCAACCAGUUUUCGACCUGGAGUUAUGCGGAGCGUGGAAUCCUUUCGUUUCAAAGCCCAGGAGCCAGACUUGAUGGCUGUCAACUUUGACUUCGGUAGCUUGGGGAACCUCCCUUCUCUUCAGAAAGUGGAAGUUGAAAUCAGCUCCACUAGUGACGUCGAGGCGGUGCGUGAAGCGCUGCAGCUUGCGGUGGACAAACAUCCGAACUAUCCCAGCUAUUAUGUCAUAACACCUGAUCAGGUGGGCACUGCGCACCGAAGACUACUGUAA
rnacentral:rRNA from 1 species